rnacentral:rRNA from 1 species
UACGUAGGGGGCAAGCGUUGUCCGGAAUCAUUGGGCGUAAAGAGCGUGUAGGCGGCCAGAAAAGUCCGCUGUGAAAACUCGAGGCUCAACUUCGAGCUGUCGGUGGAAACUUUCUGGCUAGAGUCCGGAAGAGGAGAAUGGAAUUCCUGGUGUAGCGGUGAAAUGCGCAGAUAUCAGGAAGAACACCCGUGGCGAAGGCGGUUCUCUGGGCAUUACCUGACGCUGAGGAGCGAAAGUGUGGGGAGCGAACAGG